rnacentral:rRNA from 1 species
AUAGCCGGCGAUCAGGUCACCAACGACAUCGCGAUUUCCUGCGCACGCCUACGCACUAUGCCGAGGAAAUCAAGAUCAAGUAUGCCUGCGCGCUGUCGCAGCUUGCCAAUCGCGAUGAAACGAUCGAGGUGCCGAGCGUCGGCGACCGUCCGCCGCGCAGGCUCGCCGACAAACCUCGGCGAGGUGGUCGAGCCACGUUA